UACGAAGGGGGCGAGCGUUGUUCGGAAUCACUGGGCGUAAAGGGCGCGUAGGCGGGUCUUUAAGUCAGGGGUGAAAUCCUGGAGCUCAACUCCAGAACUGCCUUUGAUACUGAAGAUCUUGAGUUCGGGAGAGGUGAGUGGAACUGCGAGUGUAGAGGUGAAAUUCGUAGAUAUUCGCAAGAACACCAGUGGCGAAGGCGGCUCACUGGCCCGAUACUGACGCUGAGGCACGAAAGCGUGGGGAGCAAACAGG
rnacentral:rRNA from 1 species